GACGAACGCUGGCGGCGUGCCUAAUACAUGCAAGUAGAACGCUGAAGGAGGAGCUUGCUUCUCUGGAUGAGUUGCGAACGGGUGAGUAACGCGUAGGUAACCUGCCUGGUAGCGGGGGAUAACUAUUGGAAGAAAUAGCUAUACCGCAUAAGAGUAGAUGUUGCAUGACAUUUGCUUAAAAGGUGCAAUUGCAUCACUACCAGAUGGACCUGCGUUGUAUUAGCUAGUUGGUGGGGUAACGGCUCACCAAGGCGACGAUACAUAGCCGACCUGAGAGGGUGAUCGGCCACACUGGGACUGAGACACGGCCCAGACUCCUACGGGAGGCAGCAGUAGGGAAUCUUCGGCAAUGUUCGGAAGUCUGUCCGAGCAACUCCGCGUGAGUGAAGAAGGUUUUCGGAUCGUAAAGCUAUGUUGUAAGAGAAGAACGAGUGUGAGAGUGGAAAGUUCCCACUGUGACGGUAUCUUACCAGAAAGGGACGGCUAACUACGUGCCAGCAGCCGCGGUAAUACGUAGGUCCCGAGCGUUGUCCGGAUUUAUUGGGCGUAAAGCGAGCGCAGGCGGUUAGAUAAGUCUGAAGUUAAAGGCUGUGGCUUAACCAUAGUACGCUUUGGAAACUAUUUAACUUGAGUGCAAGGGGGGAGAGUGGAAUUCCAUGUGUAGCGGUGAAAUGCGUAGAUAUAUGGAGGAACACCGGUGGCGAAAGCGGCUCUCUGGCUUGUAACUGACGCUGAGGCUCGAAAGCGUGGGGAGCAAACAGG
rnacentral:rRNA from 1 species